rnacentral:lncRNA from 1 species
UGUUCUUGGCCAAGUUUACAAGCUCAACACCACUCAAGAGGUGAUGAAGGGUUUAUGGGCAAAGAAGCAAGCAAAGGUGAAGAGAAGCAACUCAAACCAGGUGGAAGCAGAGCAGCCACAAAAGAGGGAAGAGAUAGUGUUCUGCACUUUGGUAUUGAUAGAACCCACCGAAAGAAUAGAGAACCCACUGAAAAAAUAAUAAGUCCUCUGCUUCCUUAUCUUUCAAUUACUUUAGUAUCAUCCUACACUAUUUAACUUGCUCUGCAGGUGGAAAGGCAGUAGCAAGCUUGAUAUCCAUCACUUUUUGCAUAUUUUAUAUAAUAUGCUAUAUAGCUAGUAUAUUAGUAUAAUAAGAUUAUAUUAUUUCAUCAUGGUUUUGAGAAGAAUCUAUCGAAAAAAAAAAAAAAAAAAUUUCCUUGCAAGUAAAGGUGUGCAGGAGGAGCUUGUGCAGGUUCGUCCACUUUGUUCGUGAAAUUAUCACUCAAGGAAGCAGACAAACGUGAAUGCAGACUAGCACUAAGGUUUGUCUCUACUUUUCAUUUCCUCUAGUAUUGAGAGGAACCCACGAAAAAAGAGAGAAGGGAUAUUCAGGUUGACAGCCCAUGAUAUAUAAUAUUAAUAUGAAAAGUUUAUGGUAAUAUAAUACACUAUAUUUAUUUGCUUUCCAAUUACUAAUUAAUAAAAAUGAACGGUUUCACCUCUUAUAUUUUUAGUGGUGGUUUUUAUUCCCACAUUUAUUUUAUUUACUGUAUGGUGUAGGUUUAUUACCCAUACAACAUUAUCUAUUUAAAAGGGUGGUGCGGGUUUAUCGUCCACGCCUUUACUUUUAUUUAAAUGUAUGGGGCAGAAUUAGUGCCCAUACAAGCACGUUUACUUUAUCGCAAAUUUACUUUUACUUAAAGUAUGAUGUGGAAUUAACCCUCAUACUUUAUGAAUUUACUUUAC